rnacentral:rRNA from 1 species
GGGGGCAUGCCUGUUCGAGCGUCAUUUCACCACUCAAGCCUCGCUUGGUAUUGGGCGACGCGGUCCGCCGCGCGCCUCAAAUCGACCGGCUGGGUCUUCUGUCCCCUCAGCGUUGUGGAAACUAUUCGCUAAAGGGUGCCCGGGAGGCUACGCCGUAAAACAACCCCAUUUCUAAGGUUGACCUCGGAUCAGGUAGGGAUACCCGCUGAACUUAAGCAUAUCAAUAAGCGGAGGAAAAGAAACCAACAGGGAUUGCUCUAGUAACGGCGAGUGAAGCAGCAAUAGCUCAAAUUUGAAAUCUGGCGUCUUCGGCGUCCGAGUUGUAAUUUGUAGAGGAUGCUUCUGGGCAGCCACCGACCUAAGUUCCUUGGAACAGGACGUCAUAGAGGGUGAGAAUCCCGUAUGCGGUCGGAAAGGCACCCACACGAGUCCUG